UUAACUAUUAUAUAGUACUCAGACAUCACUAAAAUUCAGAGUUUGGUCCUCUGGCAGGCACAUGCAGGCAGAAGCCCACAGGGUCAGACCACGGCCUGCCAAAGCAACAAGAGUAUAUAGACACGGAUGGGGUAUACCAUAAAGGUAUCCUUGUUUAAUGAUCCUUCCGCAGGUUCACCUACGGAAA
rnacentral:misc_RNA from 1 species